GUGUUGCACAAUUGUAACGGCAUCCUUUUUUACGUCAGUUCGAGUGAAAUUGCUUUUUGGCAAUUUUGUAUCGAGAACAAGUAAAAAAGAUAUAGUGGAUAGCCCGACCUUUA
rnacentral:sRNA from 1 species